rnacentral:lncRNA from 1 species
CGGUGGCUGACUGCUAGAGACUGAAACCAUGGAAAGCAAAACCGUGGACAAGGAGGAUCUACUGCAUUGACAGAGCAGCCACAUAGGACAGUGGACCAUGUCCUUUACCUUGAUACGAUUUUAAUCAUAGAUACAGGAAUGGAUUUCCCUUAUUGUAAAACUGCAAUGCAGGGGAAGCAAGUCUGUGAAGGACUUAGAUAUAGCUCACGGAGGCUGAAGGAUAAAGUGAAGGGAAGUGAGCUGCUGGUUUUCUUUGGUCUUUUAUCAAUGUUUUGGACACGAACCUUCUUUGGAAACAAACCUACUACGGUCCAGGUCCAGCUGGCAUACAACGUACUGUCUGUUCAGGAGAAAAUGAUGUGUAAAUCAGGGAAGAAUAAAGAAUGGAAGUAUUUGGGGAAAACAUUAGACAUCUUUGAAAAGAUCCACCAUUCUGGGCCAGCAAAGAGAAGCCAAAGGUGAAGUUAAGGAUGCAGUUAUUAUACAGCUACUUUGAGCUUCUCCUAAUAAAGCACAUGGCAAAUAUUCAGGGAUAUAUCUGGGUCU